rnacentral:rRNA from 1 species
UACGUAGGCAGCGAGCGUUGUUCGGAAUUACUGGGCGUAAAGAGUGUGUAGGCGGUGCUCUAAGUUCGGUGUGAAAUCUCCUGGCUUAACUGGGAGGGUGCGCCGGAAACUGGAGUGCUCGAGCGUGGGAGAGGAAAGCGGAAUUCCUGGUGUAGCGGUGAAAUGCGUAGAUAUCAGGAGGAACACCUGUGGUGUAGACGGCUUUCUGGACCAUUGCUGACGCUGAGACACGAAAGCGUGGGUAGUAAACAGG